GUUNNUCGCGUCUNCCGUGAAAGUCCNGGGCUCAACUCCNGGAUCUGCGGUGGGUACGGGCAGACUAGAGUGAUGUAGGGGAGACUGGAAUUCCUGGUGUAGCGGUGAAAUGCGCAGAUAUCAGGAGGAACACCGAUGGCGAAGGCAGGUCUCUGGGCAUUAACUGACGCUGAGGAGCGAAAGCAUGGGGAGCGAACAGGAUUAGAUACCCUGGUAGUCCAUGCCGUAAACGUUGGGCACUAGGUGUGGGGGACAUUCCACGUUUUCCGCGCCGUAGCUAACGCAUUAAGUGCCCCGCCUGGGGAGUACGGCCGCAAGGCUAAAACUCAAAGGAAUUGACGGGGGCCCGCACAAGCGGCGGAGCAUGCGGAUUAAUUCGAUGCAACGCGAAGAACCUUACCAAGGCUUGACAUGGGCCGGACCGGGCUGGAAACAGUCCUUCCCCUUUGGGGCCGGUUCACAGGUGGUGCAUGGUUGUCGUCAGCUCGUGUCGUGAGAUGUUGGGUUAAGUCCCGCAACGAGCGCAACCCUCGUUCCAUGUUGCCAGCGCGUAAUGGCGGGGACUCAUGGGAGACUGCCGGGGUCAACUCGGAGGAAGGUGGGGACGACGUCAAAUCAUCAUGCCCCUUAUGUCUUGGGCUUCACGCAUGCUACAAUGGCCGGUACAAAGGGUUGCGAUACUGUGAGGUGGAGCUAAUCCCAAAAAGCCGGUCUCAGUUCGGAUUGGGGUCUGCAACUCGACCCCAUGAAGUCGGAGUCGCUAGUAAUCGCAGAUCAGCAACGCUGCGGUGAAUACGUUCCCGGGCCUUGUACACACCGCCCGUCAAGUCACGAAAGUUGGUAACACCCGAAGCCGGUGGCCUAACCCCUUGUGGGAGGGAGCUGUCGAAGGUGGGACUGGCGAUUGGGACUAAGUCGUAACAAGGUAGCCGUACCGGAA
rnacentral:rRNA from 1 species